rnacentral:rRNA from 1 species
CCUGGCUAGGACGAACGCUGGCGGCGUGCCUAAUACAUGCAAGUCGAACGGUCUUUCUAUGGAAGCUUGCUUCCGCUGAGAAGAUAGUGGCGAACGGGUGAGUAACACGUGGGUAACCUGCCCAUAAGAGGGGGAUAACAUCCGGAAACGGGUGCUAAUACCGCAUAGUUUUCUUGAUCGCAUGAUCGGGAAAGAAAAGACGGCCUUUGUGCUGUCGCUUAUGGAUGGACCCGCGGCGUAUUAGUUAGUUGGUGAGGUAACGGCUCACCAAGACGAUGAUACGUAGCCGACCUGAGAGGGUGAUCGGCCACAUUGGGACUGAGACACGGCCCAAACUCCUACGGGAGGCAGCAGUAGGGAAUCUUCCGCAAUGGACGAAAGUCUGACGGAGCAACGCCGCGUGAGUGAAGAAGGUUUUCGGGAAUCGUAAAACUCUGUUGUCAGAGAAGAACAAGUUGGAGAGUAACUGCUCCAGCCUUGACGGUAUCUGACCAGAAAGCCACGGCUAACUACGUGCCAGCAGCAGC